CCCGAGAAUGCCGACUCGACCUCGCCCUUUAUCAGACCUUUGCUCUUCCUCUUCUUCGUUACGUUUCAUGAUUUGAACCUCAAACAAUCAAUACAUCCUCCACUUCGUCUCUCUUUACUCUCAUUUAUGGAUUCGCUUUGUUUUUCUCAUCAAGAUUUUAUUUAUAAAACUCUCGAUCGGAGUUUUAUUUCGAUUAAAUUUCGUUCUAUAUUCUCAUUAGUACAUCGCAAUUGUCGUGAGUUCCAACGGAAAAUCCAAGUUAUCUGGUGAUUGCUGCUCGGAUAAACCAAAAGGCGUUGAGGCUGACUCCUUUUCCGGUCCGAUCAAGCCCAUCGGCACACCCGAUGUCUCUUCCGGUCUCUCCAUCAGCGAUCCCCCCUCGAAGAAAGCCAAGGUCAAGCGUCGGUCUCCUAUGUUCUUCUUCUUCUUCAGGCAAGAAAGGGGAGGUUGAAGGAAGCUGAGGCGAGGAACUACUUCCAACAGCUUAUUAACGCUGUUGACUAUUGCUAUAGCAGAGGAGUUUAUCAUAGAGACCUUAAGUUCUACCUCGUGGUUGCAGCCUGAAAAUUUGCUUUUGGAUGCAAAUGGGACUCUGAAAGUCUCUGAUUUUGGAUUGAGUGCUCUACCCCAGCAAGUCCGAGCCGCCUUUUCCUCAAUGCAACCUCCGGAACACACUUCUACUUUGACCAAGAAAGUGUAACCGGCCAGAGUUUUCUGCAAGGCUACGUAUAUUCAAACUAAAACUUUUUACAAAACUUGCUUCCUACUUGCGUACUUAUACCCUGUACAACACAAUUGUCUGUAAGGUUUUGUGGAUCUGACAUUGGUAACUCCUCCACUCCUUCCAAGUAUGGCGGUGUACAGAAAAUUGAGGUAGCAACAAUUGUGGAGUUUAUUGUCUGUGUCGUGAAUUUACCACCUCAAACCCAAAGACUGUAGAAUUCCACUGCACUGCCCAAGUCGAUGACAUUGAGAAAACUAUUGGACCAAUGCUUCAUCAUCAAAGGUUUGCUUACAGGGAGGUGAUGGCUACCCUGGAAAUGAUAUUAUGGGUGCUGUAACUCUCACUAUUAACCGUCUCCUGUGAUGAGGAGCACUGGUUCACAGAAUACCACAUGGAGCAACACUGCUCCAAUUUUUGAAGGAAGCAUGGCGGAGUCAGCAGCUCUACCUGGUCAACCUGAUGCAUUUUUAGCACCGGAAAGGAUACUACAGAGGCUGAAAAGGGGUGCAGUUUGAAGAAGGCGCCCAAAGCCUGGUCGCUCCAACUAUAGAGACCCAUGACAAUAACAUAGGUGAAGAACCAAUUCCACACUGAACGUGCUACGUUUGAGUCAAUAAUUGUCGUUCUCUACUUUUUUUCUUUCUUUGAAUCCAAGUUAUAUGGGUUUUGUUGUCUUUUUAGGUUGUUUGGUUAUAUCAUACAUGAGUACUUUGGUCUCAUUACUGUAGGAAUAUUUUAGGGUCUAGCGAUUACAUAUUCCUAAAAUUGUUUAGUUGUUUGAUUUCGAAUACUUGAUGUCAACAUCAUAAAUAUUUGGAAUAGUACAUGUAGCUUCUGUUUUGAUUAAACCACAAA